rnacentral:rRNA from 1 species
UCGGGUCCUACCUUCUGGCGAAGCGUCAUGGCCUUAACCGGCCGUGGCGGGGAACCAGGACUUUUACUGUGAAAAAAUUAGAGUGUUCAAAGCAGGCAAUCGCUUGGAUACAUUAGCAUGGAAUAAUGGAAUAGGACAAUGGUUCUAUUUGUUGGUUUCUAGGACCGUUGUAAUGAUUAAUAGGGAUAGU